UACGGGGGGGGCAAGCGUUGUUCGGAAUUACUGGGCGUAAAGGGCUCGUAGGUGGCCAACUAAGUCAGACGUGAAAUCCCUCGGCUUAACCGGGGAACUGCGUCUGAUACUGGAUGGCUUGAGUUUGGGAGAGGGACGCGGAAUUCCUGGUGUAGCGGUGAAAUGCGCAGAUAUCAGGAGGAACACCGGUGGCGAAGGCGGGUCUCUGGGCCGAUACUGACGCUGAGGAGCGAAAGCGUGGGGAGCGAACAGG
rnacentral:rRNA from 1 species